CAGGGCGGCGGGCGGCCCCGGGCAGCAAGGGGACGCCCGGCACCGACCCCGGCAGGAGGCCAAGCCGCCGGGGCCCCGCGGGUGGGCGCCCUCCGUCCUGCCCCUGCCCCGAAGCGGCUGCAACGCGCCGGCGCUCCCAGCGCCGGGUCUGCCGGGCCGGCACCGGCGUGGCGUCCCCACGCGAGGCGGGUGGCGAGAAGGGCGGCCGGGCCGGGCCGCGGAGUCGCCCCCCGCCGCAACUCUGGCGCCCCCCGGCUCGGGGCGCGGCCAGCCCGGCGGCGGCCUCGCCAGCGGUCCUGCGGGCCACCUCGGCGGACCCGUGAAUCGGAGGCGGCCGGAGGGUUACGGGCAGGAAUUACGAAGUAGCUACAGGCGCUGGAAGCCCCAUUGCUGCAUCAGUCUCUCCGCUCAGGCUGCGACGAGCUUCGCCGGCAUCAUUUACUUUCUCCUGCAGCGGCUCCCAAGAGCUCCCCCAGCUGCACUGCAUCGCCCCAGCCAGCCUGAAGGGAGAAGCAAACGAGGAGCAGGCAGACCACGCACCCUCGCUCCGCCUGCAGCUCAGCCCGGCUCUCCUCUCCUCCUCCCCAGCCUGCCAGGUCCUUGUCCCUUCAAAACUUUCCCUGAUGUUGUGAGCUGGGCUCGGGUGGGCGCUUCGCCUCCGCUGCUUGCCUGCUCCGCCCGCCUCGCAGAUGAUUUGCAGUUGAAGAGAGCUCCCUCGACGGCUGCCGGAGCUCCUGGUGGGAACCAACAGAGGCUGUAGCUGGCAGGGAGCCGACGAGGAGAGACAAGAACCUGGAGAAAGUUGGGUUACUCUUGCCAGACGCCGGCUGGAAACCGUUUGGCAGGUCCCUGCCCCACCGGUUUUCCCCGAAACGCCAAAAUCUGCAAAAGUUGCCGGGAGCGUCACCGCUGCCCAGCCAGCUCCAGGCGCUGCGCGCCGCUCCGCCGCCCCCCGGGCUGGCCGGGGCCGCCUCGCCCCUCCCUGCCCCCUGCCCUGCCGGGCGCGCCGCGGCUUCUUCCCCUUUGGCUUUCCAGGUUUUUCCCCUCCCCUCUUCACCAUUUCAUUCCCCUUUGGGGAAAAGAAAAAAAAAAGAAAAAGGAGCCAAUUAAAGCAGCCGUGCUCGGAAGAGCCCUGCCUCCUGCCCAAUUCUGCGAGCCUCCCCUCGCCCCGGCCCAAUUAGAGACAGCACCGCAGGGCUGGGGAGGACAAGGGUCUUGCUUCGGGCGGAGAGAUCAGCCGUCAGCCCGGGGUCCCUCCAUCCUCAGGACACUCGCGGCAAGCACCACAUCCAAGAAUGUCUCCAGGAUCCCUGAAGUUUGAUCUCUUCCUACACACACAUACGGAAGUGGUGUUGGCCACUGCUGGAGCACUUGACUCAAGAAUCCAGUGAUUUUUAUCUUUGUGUGAACCUGUAUGUGUACACACACACACACACAGACACAGACACAGACACAGACACACACACACAUCCUUUUCCUUCCUAUCUCAUUCCUAUUAAAAAUUACAGCAUCAUUUUUAAUAAGUCACCUGUUCGAGUCAAUAUACCUUAAACAAUUCUUUGCACAAAUCCAGAACUUGCAAAAGAUAUGUGCAAAUAAAACAUUUGGAACUGUGCCUGCUGAAGGGAUGCUUUAAAGCACAACAACCCCCCUCCAAGUGUUGCUGCUCCCUCCUUACCUUUGCGGUGGGUCUGAAACACAAUUCCAUGUUGCCUCUAUGCUUAAAAAUACAUCCGUAAGGUGCAGUGGCAUCUUUGUCUUUUCUCUGUAACUUGAUCCACUUUAGAAAAUCCAUGGUGAAAGACUGUUUAAACUUACCAUGACCAUUUAUAACACAAUUCUCUAGAAAACAAGAG